rnacentral:rRNA from 1 species
AGAGUUUGAUCCUGGCUCAGGAUGAACGCUAGCGGCAGGCUUAACACAUGCAAGUCGAGGGGUAUAGUUCUUCGGAACUAGAGACCGGCGCACGGGUGCGUAACGCGUAUGCAAUCUACCUUUUACAGAGGGAUAGCCCAGAGAAAUUUGGAUUAAUACCUCAUAGCAUAGCAAUCUCGCAUGAGAUCACUAUUAAAGUCACAACGGUAAAAGAUGAGCAUGCGUCCCAUUAGCUAGUUGGUAAGGUAACGGCUUACCAAGGCUACGAUGGGUAGGGGUCCUGAGAGGGAGAUCCCCCACACUGGUACUGAGACACGGACCAGACUCCUACGGGAGGCAGCAGUGAGGAAUAUUGGACAAUGGGCGCAAGCCUGAUCCAGCCAUGCCGCGUGCAGGAUGACGGUCCUAUGGAUUGUAAACUGCUUUUAUACGAGAAGAAACACUCCAACGUGUUGGAGCUUGACGGAUCGAAGAAU